GUGGGGAAUAUUGGACAAUGGGCGAAAGCCUGAUCCAGCCAUGCCGCGUGUGUGAAGAAGGUCUUCGGAUUGUAAAGCACUUUAAGUUGGGAGGAAGGGCAGUAAGUUAAUACCUUGCUGUUUUGACGUUACCGACAGAAUAAGCACCGGCUAACUUCGUGCCAGCAGCCGCGGUAAUACGAAGGGUGCAAGCGUUAAUCGGAAUUACUGGGCGUAAAGCGCGCGUAGGUGGUUUUGUAAGUUGGAGGUGAAAUCCCCGGGCUAAACCUGGGAACUGCCUCCAAAACUGCAUGACUAGAGUACGGUAGAGGGUAGUGGAAUUUCCUGUGUAGCGGUGAAAUGCGUAGAUAUAGGAAGGAACACCAGUGGCGAAGGCGACUACCUGGACUGAUACUGACACUGAGGUGCGAAAGCGUGGGGAGCAAACAGGAUUAGAAACCCUGGUAGUCC
rnacentral:rRNA from 1 species